rfam:Schistosoma haematobium scaffold1_17, whole genome shotgun sequence.
GUCGGAGUGGCCGAGCGGUUUAAGGCGCCAGACUCGAGUGUUCUGGUCCACGGUGUGGGCGUGAGUCCGAAUCCCACUUCCGACA